rnacentral:tRNA from 1 species
GCCCUCAUAGUUCAACGGAUAGAACACGGACCUUCUAAGUCUGCAAUGGGGGUUCGAUUCCUCCUGAGGGCACAA